rnacentral:lncRNA from 1 species
UCAUAUUAACUUCAGAGAUAACAUUGUGGUAUACUAAAAUCACACGUUCAAAUCUUUUACAAUACCAAGUUUAAUACAAAACUUCAGUCGUAAUAUGAUACUAGAUAAUUUACAAUCACAAAAGAAUUCAUGUUAACUCCCUAAGCUCCCUCAUUCGUUUCUUGACCACCAACUCCUGUAAGGAAAACAAAACUAAAGGGUUGAGCUAAAGCUUAGUGAGGUUUCCAUGCAAGCAACAGUCAAUAAGCACUUAAACCAGAUAAGCCAAUAACAAAAUUAAGCAAUUAAGGAACACUUCACUGAGUAAAAUAAAGAACACUUCACUGAACAAUCACUUUUAAAAGGAUACGGUGCUCGCAUUAGAGCCACUUCCCUCUGGGAGUCAUUUCAAUGUCAUUCAGCAUUCAUUUCAGUGUCAAGAGACACUCAUUUCAAUAUCAUUGCACACUUAUUCAAUAUCAUUGUACAUUCAUUUAAAUAUCAUUGUACACUCCGCCGAUUCACCUCCUUAUGUCCUCCAAAACAAUAAACAAUCCCCUACAUUCAAUAAUCAGUUCAAUAAUCUCCCAACUUCAGGGUAAUACUCGAAUAUACCGAAACAGUUACCCAAAUCUUCAGUCCUAUCCGACCAAGCCCUUUGCUGGCUCGAAUAGUCCGUUGAACAGAGGGUUUUGGGGCCCAGUUCAACCGAUGCGGUAAAGUACACAUACGUCUUAUAUUCAUGCACAUUUACAGUAACAUUUAGUCAAUUAUCAACCUUCAACCUCAACUAAGUCGAGUGCGAUAAAGUACACCACUGACUUAAAGAUGAGGGACAAUUGAGAUACACUUUACAAGGAAUCAUUAGCAAUAUCCCAUAAUAAGCACUUUUAACACAUAAUUUUAAUUAAAUAAACAUAAACAGUUAAACACACAAUUCGGAAACACUCACCAAAUAUCCAAUUAAAUUACUCUUGAGUCUCGAGUUUGUUUCCUGGCUCACACCUAUUCCCUGGGAUAAGUGUAUAGGUCCAAAGUAAAUAUACAAUUUGUAGAUAUUCAUUUAUUAUUUAUUACCCUAUUAUUUGAACUAUUAAAAUCCAGUUUGACUUUAAAAUACAAAAUAUAAUGUAUUCAAUAUUUGUUCUACAUUUUAUUUCUAAACUUAUUGACCUUGUCAUUUUAACCAAGAAAUAUACAUAUUUUCUAAGGUUAUGAUUUAUAAAUAUUUAAAUUAGGAUUAAACCAUUUCUCACUCUAUAUCUUAAAGUUAAAAUAAAUAAACUUUUCAUCCUUCUUUUCUUUUCUUUUUUUUUUUCCAAAUCAAAUUCUAAGUUGUCUAUAAUUUAAGUUUUGUAUAAACUUAUUAGUUUUCUUGUUUAAAUUUCUUAAAUGCUCAUAAGCGGAGUUUCACAAUGAAUUAGCUUAAAUUUCAAGAUUUCAUAAAAGUUUCAUUUCUCCCUUCAUCCGGUCAGCAUAAACAGUUUUUUUUAGCUCAAAUGUUCCUUAACCUACAACUCCACUUUUUAAUUGCUUAAACUUUAGUCACCUAGUAUACAUUUCAUUCAAGGUGAAUAACUCAUAAUUUCAGCAUGUCGAUUGACCACAUCAUAUACAAAAUUUGUCAUCUUCAAUCGCAACCAUUAACUAGGCUUUCUAGCAAUGUAUCGGUCCAAUAUUCGGUAUGUUUCCCUCAAAUCUUUCCUUUCACUCUCACGUCCCAACUAGACAAGUUAGUUACAUUUAUUAAGCUACAAAGUAGCUUUGUACAGAACGUGGAAAAUUUGUAGCUAAACUCAAAGGAAAGACUGAUCAAAACUCUUCCCUCUCUCUCGGCCAUGAAGUAAUUCAGCAGCUUGAUUCACAGCUUUCCUCCUUAUUUGCCUUAGUUUAACUCUACUCAUAGUGCCAAACAUAGUUGUUAAACUACAGAGCAGCUUUGACUAUCAUCUAUGAAGGUUUAUAGUGUUGGAAAUUGGAGGAAAACUAGUCAGAAGAUAAUUUCCUUCCUCUCGGCAUCCUAACAGAUUGCACCAGCUUUCCUUGCCAGUUUUAGCUAGAAUUUUCUAAGGCUUGACCAUCGUUUCCAAGUUUUAAAGGUCAAUAGAGUGUAUAUGAGAGCAGGGACAAAAUAUUACACAAUUUUUUACUCAAGAUGGCAGCUAAUUAUCAUGAAAUUUUCAGAUAUUACAUGUAAGUUUCAGCCCCUCUUUCUCUCUACCAUUAGACAAGUUUCCAGCAACAUUACUUCAGAGUUUUGGUGGAGUUUCCAUCUUUUUCUUGCCCGAAACUCCAAACACACGACACACAUUCUGUCCAACAUGAAUUAAGGUCAAUGUCUCAUAAUUUCAACAGGUUAUUCAACCAAAUUCCCCUGCAAAAACUGCCAUCAGAUAUCGUGGUCUUCAAGUAGCUACACAAUCCAAUGCAAGCCUGUUUUCCCCACAUUUUCUUAUUUUCCUCCUCCCAACUCCAACUAGAGAGCAUUUUAUGCAAGAAUAUAAGGUUACCACCAAGAUCAGAGAGCAAUGCUGGAUCAAGUUUUAAUUUUUUCUCAGCUAGAGUGUAAGAAGCUGUUGCAGCAGAUUGCUACUUUUCCUUCAAGGUUCCCUUUAGUUUCAAUUCAUGGUUGUGUUACUUGUUGAAGUUAAGAGCUUAUGACAUGCUACAGUUCUAUACGUUUGUCUAGAGGUUAAAAUUUGCAGAGGACAAUCAAAGUUUCCUUCUGUUCUCUUUCGGCUGCAGUCACUAAAUUUUCAGCAAAACAAUAGUUUAUCAUUAAUAUUUGACAUUUUCUCCCCUUUUCUUCUUCAAUUUUUGGUCUCAAUCACUCAUGCAGUCGAUACUUAAUUUGUUGCAGGUUAUCCUAAGCUAGACAAGGUAGUUCUUGACCAAAAUUUCAGAGGAAAAUUGAAUAAAAUCACAAGUCUGCACAAGCCUGCUACAUCUGGUGCAUAGCAGCCUGCACCAGGUUACUUUCAUGCCCACAGUUCCAAUUCUUACAACUCCUACGGUUAAUCCUUCUUUUACUACUUAAAGUGGACGUAUUUCAUGCUUUCCUAGCUGUAGUUCCCAUUUUUCUGAUAACUAGCCACACAAUUAGCACUUAUCUCAUGGUUAGAAGUCAGAACUUCCUCUUAGCAAACAAUCGAUUCAAAACAAAAUUUCUCCUGCAACAACACUUAGUUUUUCUUGGCUAGAUUCCAGCACACACAGCAUGCAAGGAAUAUCUAUUCGGUUACAGGUUUACUUAACAAAACGUGAGUCUAAGAUUCAAGAGACUAACAUAAUCAAAGCUUAUUUCCGUCGUCAGUUACAAAUUCCGAUGCUUAACAGCAUGCAUCAGCUUUCCAUACUCAAGCUUCUCAGCUCCUACCAGGUUAGUCACUUAUUUACUUCAUCUGCAUAAUCGAAUCUUUCUCCUAUCGAACUUAACCUGCAGCUUAUCCAUUCAUUCAUUUUCUACCAAAUAAGCUUGAGAUUAUUGUAGAUUCUUAGCAUUAUCAUCCCAAAAUUUUUAAAACAGUUACAAAUUCCAGUUCUGCAAUUUUCACAGUUUCUGCUUAAUAUUUCCUCGUACCAGAACCUAAGUUACUGGCUAAGCUCAAGUUAUAACUCAUGUAUGGUUCCAGUUAUACUAAAUAAGCAGAAAAUUAGUGAAGAUUCUUACCCCUUUUUCUCACUAAAAUCCGAUAACAAAAGGCUGCUCUAGCUUCCUGCUUCAGUUCCUUCAGGUCCUAGCUCCUCUUCUCCCGCUUUCCUUGCAGUACUUUUCUUGCUUUUGUUUAGUUGGCAAUGAAGCUGGCCAAGCUUCCUCUCCCACUCUCACACUCAGUUCUACACUCUCAGUACUGUCCAAAUGUAUCAGCAGAUGGGUUUCUCUUUUUUUUUCCUCUCGGUUGUUAGGUUGGGCAGAAAAGGUUUGAAGCUUUGCUUCUCUACUCAGCUAUCGCCUAAGUGUUGUAAUUGGUUUCUCUUAGCUUUCUUUCGGUCACCGCCCAACUUAUGAAGCAAUCUCUAUUUGCUCCACUAGUCACUGC